AGAAGCACAAGCACGCCAGCAGUUCAUCAAAACGAGCAUUCCACGUACACAUACUCCACUAGCUAGGCUAGGCGCUAUAGCAGCUAGCAAGGCUAUACCUUGGUUGCAACAGUACACUCGACCUGAUCAUACGUUUUUAGUUGUGGUUACACGCAGGGUGACAGGACGGGAUCGUACGUCGACCGUACCUGAUCCAUCUGAUCUAGCAUGGCACCGACGGCCGCGGCGAUGGUGGUGAGGGCCACGGUGGUGGCCGUGCUGCUGUUGAUGCAGUGCUGCAAUGUCAUCCUUGCCGCGAGGCCGUUGCUGCUGAGUGCGGCGGCGGAUGGCCGUGGGUGGCAGCAGCUGGGAAAGGGCGCCGGAUCAGCGCUCAGUACCGUGCGGCAGCUUCUCGCCAUGGCCGUUGGUCCGGGGGAAGGCAACCCGUUCGACUACCAGGAUCCCAACUACCAGCCCCCGGACAUGUCAUCGCUAGUUCCAUAAGUUGCAGCUGGCUCGCUGGCUGCCUUCGGCAUCAUUUGCUUGAUUUCGCGGAUUUAUUCAGGCGUGUAUGGCAUCAAACUAGCUCUUUAGCAUUGCAGUGUUGGGUUGAAAGGUGGUUUUUGAGCUUAGGAAUAUAUGCAUUUGCUUAGAUCGCGUGGAAUUUUAUUUUUUUCUUUCUUACUUAUUUUUAAUGGCCAUUGUAUCGAUCGUAAAUUGGAGAACAUUUGUAAGUAGCUUGAGCUGUGGUUGGCAUUACCUAAAAAUAGAUGCCUGGAUGGAUGCUACUCUAGAGCAUGCGGAUUCGAGUUUUUUAUAGAAAGAUUCGACCACUAAUGUAUACAAACAAUAUCGGAAUGAGCAAUUAGUAUCAGAACAUUCAGUUUAUCUUCAAUAGGUUGUGUUACCAAAUAG
rnacentral:lncRNA from 1 species